rnacentral:rRNA from 1 species
AAACUGUAUUCCUUAGUACGGCGAGUGAACCGGGAAAAGCUCAAAUUUGAAAUCUGGCUGUCUUCGAUAGUCCGAGUUGUAAUCUAUAGAAGCGUUUUCCGUGCUGAACUGUGUAAAAGUCCCUUGGAACAGGGUAUCAAAGAGGGUGAUAAUCCCGUACUUGACACAAUCAUCAGUGCUCUGUGAUACGCUCUCUACGAGUCGAGUUGUUUGGGAAUGCAGCUCAAAAUGGGUGGUAAAUUCCAUCUAAGGCUAAAUAUUGGCGAGAGACCGAUAGCGAACAAGUACCGUGAGGGAAAGAUGAAAAGCACUUUGGAAAGAGAGUUAAACAGUACGUGAAAUUGUUAAAAGGGAAACGAUUGAAGUCAGUCGUGUUCAUUGGAUUCAGCUAGUUCUUCUAGUCUACUUCUUUUGAACGGGUCAACAUCAUUUUUGUCCGGUGGAUAAACGUAUUAGGAAUGUGACUUCCUCGGAAGUGUUAUAGCCUAGUAUCACAUACACUGGGGGAGACUGAGGACUGCAGCUCGCCUUUUGGCCGGGGUUCGCCCACUUUCCAGCUUUCGAUGUUGACAUAUUGGUUUUAAACUACCCGUCUUUGA